rnacentral:rRNA from 1 species
AACGAACGCUGGCGGCAUGCCUAACACAUGCAAGUCGAACGAAGGCUUCGGCCUUAGUGGCGCACGGGUUCGUAACGCGUGGGAAUCUUCCCUUAGGUUCGGAAUAACAGUUAGAAAUGACUGCUAAUACCGGAUGGUGACGUAAGUCCAAAGAUUUAUCGCCUGAGAAUGAUCCCGCGUAGGAUUAGCUUGUUGUUGUGGUAAAGGCGCACCAAGGCGACGAUCCUUAGCUGGUCUGAGAGGCUGAUCAGCCACACUGGGACUGAGACACGGCCCAGACUCCUACGGGAGGCAGCAGUGGGGAAUAUUGGAACAUGGGGGCAAGCAUGAUCCAGCAAUGCCGCGUGAGUUAUGAAGGCCUUAGGGUUGUAAAGCUCUUUUACCCGUGAUGAUAAUGACAGUAGCGGGAGAAUAAGCCCCGGCUAACUCCGUG